rnacentral:rRNA from 1 species
CCUACGGGUGACAGCAGUGAGGAAUAUUGGUCAAUGGACGAGCGUCUGAACCAGCCAAGUAGCGUGAAGGAUGACUGCCCUAUGUGUUGUAAACUUCUUUUAUAUGGGAAUAAAACGUUCCACGUGUGGGAUUUUGUAUGUACCAUAUGAAUAAGGAUCGGCUAACUCCGUGCCAGCAGCCGCGGUAAUACGGAGGAUCCGAGCGUUAUCCGGGUUUAUUGGGUUGAAAGGGAACGUAGGUUGAUGGUUAAGUCAGUUGUGAAAGUUUGCGGCUCAACCGUAAAAUUGCAGUUGAAACUGGCAGUCUUGAGUACAGUAGAGGUGGGCGGAAUUAGUGGUGUAGCGGUGAAAUGCUUAGAUAUCACGAAGAACUCCGAUUGCGAAGGCAGUUCACUGGACUGCAACUGACACUGAGGCUCGAAAGUGUGGGUAUCAAACAGGAUUAGAUACCCUGGUAGUC